rnacentral:lncRNA from 1 species
AUGAUAAGCUGCAUAAGUGUCUUCUGUAUGACCCAUGAACAGCAAUGGAAAUCAAAGGAACAGCAAAUGAAACUGCAAAUUGCUAAACUAGAGAUGGCUAUCAAAUCUGAUUUAGCAGACAAAAAUGCAAUCCUUGACAAGAUCAAAGUAGAAAGAGAAGUAUUCACAGAAUGAUUCAGGUUGGAAGGGAUAACAGGGGCAUCAUCUCACAGAAUUGUAGAACACAGUGAGGAGUUGGAAGGCACCCACAAGGAUCACCAAAGUCCAACUUCUGGCCCUGCACAUUUUGCUCUUGUUUGGAUGGAGUUUGUUUUGCCUUCCCUCUAAAAAUUACCACUAUAUGGCAGAGGGAAAUAAUGAAUAAAUGGAAUGACUUUGGCA